AUGACUAGAGUACGAAAGAGGGAAGUAGAAUUCACAGUGUAGCGGUGGAAUGCGUAGAUAUUGUGAAGAAUACCAAUGGCGAAGGCAGCUUCCUGGUUCUGUACUGACACUGAGGUGCGAAAGCGUGGGUAGCGAACAGGAUUAGAUACCCUGGUAGUCCACGCCGUAAACGAUGACAACUAGCUGUUGGGAGACAAGAUCUCUCAGUGGCGCAGCUAACGCUUUAAGUUGUCCGCCUGGGGAGUACGGCCGCAAGGUUAAAACUCAAAUGAAUUGACGGGGACCCGCACAAGCGGUGGAGCAUGUGGUUUAAUUCGAUGCAACGCGAAAAACCUUACCUACUCUUGACAUACUUGGAAGCUCUUGUAAUGAGAGUGUGCUUUUAGAGCCAAGAUACAGGUGCUGCAUGGCUGUCGUCAGCUCGUGUCGUGAGAUGUUGGGUUAAGUCCCAUAACGAGCGCAACCCUUACCCUUAUUUGCCAGCGGUUCGGCCGGGAACUAUAAGGGGACUGCCGGUGACAAACCGGAGGAAGGUGAGGACGACGUCAAGUCAUCAUGGCCCUUACGAGUAGGGCUACACACGUGCUACAAUGGGGAAUACAGACGGACGCUAAAGCGUGAGCUGGUGCCAAUCCUAAAAAAUUUCUCGUAGUCCGGAUUGCAGUCUGCAACUCGACUGCAUGAAGUCGGAAUCGCUAGUAAUCGCGAAUCAGCAUGUCGCGGUGAAUACGUUCUCGGGUCUUGUACACACCGCCCGUCACACCAUGGAAGUGUGUUGCACCAGAAGUAGGUAGUCUAACCUUCGGGAAGGCGCUUACCACGGUGUGAUCCAUGACUGGGGGUGAAGUCGUAACAAGGUAGCCGUAGGGGAACCUGU
rnacentral:rRNA from 1 species